CCUGAGAAACCCAAAAGAUCGAAUGGGGAGAUUCAUCGUCAGCGAUUUCGGCAAGUGUGCGGUUCUCGAUGCCGGUGACUUCGGUCUCCAGGCACGCGUCCGCAUGUUUAUCAAUGCCUUAAACGUCGGCGUGCACUUCUCCCCUAGUAGGACGUCGCGACCCGUUGGGUGUCGGCCUACGGCCCGGGCGGUAGCCUGUUUCGUGUUCGCUUCGCGGCGUUACGCGGUUCAGACCCCCGGUUGCCUGACCGGCUGCUCGGCGGUACGCGCACGGUAUCUGGCCGCAAAUAUUCGAACUGCGUCCGGCCCGUCGCAAGCGAGGCAAGUGUUUCCCGGCUGUACGGAUCUAAUGCCGUCACCGGGCCUUGCCAGCUGUUGGUUGACGGUGUCCUAGGACAGGCCAAUGAAAUUAUGAUACCGGUCGGCGACGCUACUGCUUUGGGUACUUUCAGGACCCGUCUUGAAACACGGACCAAGGAGUCUAACAUGUGCGCGAGUCAUUGGGUAUUAUUAAGCCUAAAGGCGCAAUGAAAGUGAAGGUCCGGCCUUGCGCCGACCGAGGGAGGAUGGGCCGCGUCACGAUGCGGUCCCGCACUCCCGGGGCGUCUCGUUCUCAUCACGAGAAGAGGCGCACCCAGAGCGUACACGUUGGGA
rnacentral:rRNA from 1 species